CCCUUCUUCCUCUUUUUUAAACGCUAAUAAUAAUAAUAAUAAUAAUAGACAGCGUCGUUAACCAGCUAGGGUUUUUGAUUGCCGCUUAUUCCCUACCCCACUUAGAAGAAGAAGAAGAAGACUCUCUGUCUUCUACAGUUUUAGCUAGAGAACAUAUUUUCUGGCAUAAAUGGGAAGCAAGAAAAGAAGCUCCAAUUCAGCAGAGGAAGUUGAGGAUUCAGAUAAUACAAAUACAAAAACUGAGAAUGCAAACUUGGAGGAUAUGAAUAAAGAGAAUGCAAGUUCAAAUCUAAGUAGAAAGAAAAUGAAGAAAGAUAAGAAUAAAGAGAAUGAAACCCUGGACGGAGAUGCUUCUAAAGCAGGCCUUUAUAAUAAUAAUUCUAGUUCGCUGAAACCCAUGGAAAGACGAAAGAAGAGGAAAGCAUUGGAUAAAGAGCGCCAGCAUGCUACUUCAGAGGAUAAGGAUGGGAAGACUAAAAAAAUGGAUGUUGAUUCAAAGGUUACCGAAAAUAAAGAGCAGAUGGGAGCUUCCUCUAGUGGGGUGUUGCCGGAGUUUCACAUUGGCGUCUUUACAGAACUGAUAUCGGCUGAUGUGUCUGUGAGAGAAGCUGCAGUGGAGAGAUUGGUCAUGGAGUUGCAAAAGGUUCAGAAGGCGUAUGAAAAUGCAGAGAAUAAGGUGGUGGUAGAAGAUGGGUUGAAACUGGAAGCGAAGAAGGAUGAUGGGUUGAAUGACUGUGCUCCUUCUGUGAGAUAUGCUGUGCGUAGGCUUAUUCGCGGUGCUUCUUCAUCAAGGGAGUGCGCAAGGCAAGGAUUUGCAUUGGGCUUGGCGGUGUUAAUUGGUACAAUUCCUAGCAUCAAAGUGGAUUCAGUGAUGAAUCUAAUAGUUGACAUGUUAGAAGUUUCUUCAUCAAUGAAGGGUCAGGACAUAAGGGAUUGCCUUUUAGGUCGGCUAUUUGCUUAUGGUGCUCUUGCCCGAUCAGGAAGACUGGUGGAAGUGUGGAUUUCUGAUCAUAACACCCUCUUCAUUAAGGAAUUCACCAAUGUACUUAUCUCCCUUGCAUCAAAAAAACGAUAUUUGCAAGAGCCUGCUGUUGCAAUUAUUUUAGAAUUGGUCGAAAAGUUGCCAACUGAGGCUGUGUUGAAUCACGUACUUGAAGCUCCAAGACUGUGUGAGUGGUUUGAAGGUGAUGCCGAUGCUGGAAAUCCUGAUGCUUUGCUUUUAGCUUUGAGAAUUCAGGAGAAAGUUUCUGUUGAUAGUGAAAUGUUCGGAAAGAUUUUGCCACAUCCGUUCAGCCCUAGUAGGCUUUUUGCAUCUGAUCAUUUGUCCUCUAUUAUUAACUGCCUGAAGGAAUCAACGUUCUGUCAGCCUAGAAUUCACGGUGUGUGGCCUGUUCUGGUAAAUAUUCUUUUACCUGAUGUCGUUAUGCAAGCUGAAGAUGUGGUAUCAGCUUCUAAUUCUCUAAAAAAGCAUAAAAAAAGUCGCAAGUCUAGCUCUUCUGAAGAAGAAGUUGUCAAGAUUGUUCAGUGUUUCCGUGAAGUUGUUAUUGAAGGGUCCCUUCUUCUCUCUUCUCAUGAUCGCAAGCACUUGGCAUUUCAUAUUCUGCUUCUUCUCCUCCCAAGGCUCCCCGCAUCAUUCAUUCCACAUGUUCUUUCUCACAAAAUUGUGCAAUGCUUGAUGGAUAUACUUUCAACAAAGGACUCUUGGCUGUAUAAAGUCGCGCAGCAUUUUCUUAAGGAAUUAUCUGAUUGGGUAGGAAAUGAUGAUGUCAGAAGGGUUGCUGUUAUAGUGGCUUUACAAAGACACAGCAAUGCAAGAUUUGAUGGCAUCACCAGAACAAAAACAGUUAGAGCUUUGGUGACAGAGUUUAAAACAGAAUCUGGUUGCAUGCUGUUUAUUCAGAAUUUAAUGAACAUGUUUGUGGAUGAAGGUUGUUCUUCAGAGGAACCCUCAGAUCCGAGUCAAACUGAUGACAAUUCAGAGAUGGGUUCUGUCGAGGAUAAGGAUUCAAAUGGUGCAAUGGAAAACUCUGAUUUCUUGAAGAGUUGGGUGGUGGAAUCCCUCCCGAGUAUUUUGAAACAUUUGAAGCUGGAGCCUGAAGCAAAGUUUCGGGUGCAGAGGGAAAUUUUGAAGUUUCUAGCUGUUCAGGGUCUGUUCUCUGCAUCUCUUGGCUCUGAAGUUACAUCUUUUGAAUUGAAGGAGAAAUUUAAAUGGCCAAAGGCAGCCACUUCAAGUGCAAUUUGCAGAAUGUGCAUCGAGCAGAUCCAAUCACUGCUGGCAAAUGCUCAAAAGAUAGAGGGGUUACAUUCUUUGGCAAGUGGCCUGGAGCACAGUGAUCUUGGAUCUUACUUCAUGCGUUUUCUCAGUACACUCGGAAACAUUCCUUCGGUUUCUCUUUUCCGAUCUUUGAGUGAUGAAGAUGAAAAGGCAUUUGAAAAAUUGCAAGAAAUGGAAACUAGGCUGUCUAGAGAGGAAAAAAAUUUUGUGAUUGGUGCUGAAGCAAAUAAAUUGCAUGCAAUGAGGUACUUGCUGAUCCAGUUGCUGCUUCAAGUACUCCUUCGACCUGGAGAAUUCUCAGAAGCUGCAUCUGAACUUAUUAUAUGUUGUAAGAAAGCUUUUGCUGCUUCUGAUCUUCUUGACUCCUCGGGAGAAGAGGAGUUGGAUAAUGAUGCAGAUCCUAAGUUAAUGGAUGUCCUUGUGGACACAUUCCUUUCAUUGUUGCCACAGUCAUCAGCUCCCAUGCGCUCUGCUAUUGAGCAGGUUUUUAAGCACUUCUGUAAUGAUGUGACAAAUGAUGGACUUCUUCGGAUGUUGCGUGUCAUUAAGAAAGAUUUGAAGCCAGCUAGACAUCGGGAAGAAGGCAGUGAAGAUGAUGAAGAUUUUCUUGGUAUUGAAGAAGAAGAAGAAGAAGAAGAAGAAGAAGAAGAAGAAGUGGAUGAAGCUGAGACAGGUGAAACAGGUGAAGAUGAAGAACAGACUGAUGAUUGCGAGGUAGUGGUUGAAGUUGAAGAAGCUGGCAAAGAGCUGCCUGAUGAUUCUGAUGAUUCUGAUGGAGGAAUGGAUGAUGAUGCAAUGUUCCGGAUGGACGCUUAUCUUGCACAGAUUUUUAAAGAUAGAAAGAAUCAGGCUGGGGGUGAAACUGCACAAUCUCAGCUUGUUUUGUUUAAACUUCGUGUUCUUUCAUUGCUGGAGGUUUACCUGCAUGAAAAUCCAGCUGAGCCUGGGGUUCUGAUGGUUUACUCGAACUUGGCUCAGGCAUUUGUUAAUCCUCAGACUGCAGAAAUCGGCGAGCAGCUCGGACAGCGAAUAUGGGGAAUUUUGCAAAAGAAAAUAAUCAAAGCGAAGGACUUCCCAAAGGGUGAUGCUGUGCUACUACCUAAUCUUGAAUCUUUGUUAGAAAGGAACUUAAAGUUGGCAUCAAAGCCAUUGAAGAGAAAGAAAUCUGCUGGUAUCUUAUCCAAGAAAAAACAGUCAGCCAUGUGGAAACGACACAAAAUGAUUGUUUCCCUUGCUCAGGAUUCCACCUUUUGGAUUCUGAAAAUUAUUGAUGCAAGAAAUUUUUCAGAGUCUGAACUAAAAGGGGUUUUUGAUAUUUUCAAGGGUGAACUGGCACGGUAUUUUGAGAGUAAAACAUCUCAAAUAAAAUCUGAAUUUUUAAAGGAAAUAUUUCGAAGAAGGCCAUGGAUUGGCCAUCAUCUCUUGGAGUUCCUUUUGGAGAUAUGUGGCAGUGCAAAGUCAGAGUUUCGUCGAGUUGGAGCACUUGAUCUAUUAAUGGAAAUAUUGAAGUCAAUGGUUCCUUCUGGUAAUGAUGAAAGUAACCGCGAUGCAUCAAAGAAAAUCUUGAAAAAUCAUCUGCAAAAACUCAGUCAUCUGAUAAAGGAGUUGGUAACAAAAAUGCCAGAAAAGCAGUCAAGGCGGGCUGAAGUACGCAAGUUUUGUGGUAAAGUCUUCCGGUAUGUGUCAACCUAUGACCUGACCAAAUGUUUUCUUAAAUAUCUGGGCCCAGAAGCCGAAGCUGCUUGUGAAUCUCAACUUGGAGAGCUGUAUCUCAAUUUCAAGGAGGUCGAGAGUUAACUGUAACUGAUAGUGCUGAGCCCUCGAUAGCAUUUUGUGCCCGGGGAAAACUUAUUUCAGCUCCUGUUCUGUUCGAACGUGCCCAGUUGUCAAAUAACAUGGAGUUUCUAUAAUAUGGUAUGCACAGGAAGACAAAAAGAUCAUGAACUCAGUUACUGUUAGUACAUGAAUUGACUUCCACUAAAGUUAUCUCAAAGUCACCCCCAAGGCUUUUCCGGCGGAGUAGUUGGAUCGGCAGUGAGCCCUCAAAUUUGUACUAGUUUUGCACUGGUUUAUUUAUUACUCGACUGAGGAUUCAUGAAAAUUAGCUAAUGUAGUUGUGCUCAUCGCAAUGUGAGCGUGUUUGCUUCAACUUCAGUUAUGGGAGAGGGAGCAACUGGGUUGUCAGGGUCUCACGUAAAAUUACAAAAAAUCUAAAAGGCAUGUCUUUUCACUGUGCA